UCACGUACUCAGAUAAAAACGAGACAAAGUUCAUAUCUUAAUCUGUAUCUUUUGUUUUUUUCCACGUAUAUGCAUUUUACGCAUGUAUUGUUAAGAGACAGGUCUUUUCUGACAUUCUACAACUGUUGAACAUGUCCGAUUUUCGUACAGGCGCACACGCAAGCAAUACACAAAUGAGACAUUGUUCAUUUUUUUUUCAAUGACAUUAGCGUUCGUAAACAUCUAGUAAAAAUGUCUUAUUUCUCUGUGAGAUAUAAUCCACACACCCACACACAAUUUUAUUAAGAUUCUUGUAGAUAUCAAAAUCAUGUAGCUAAUAAUUAUAAGCUUAUGUACAUGCACCCAAUAACCGUUGAUCUUGUAUACCUAAGGCUCAGACUUAGCGUUUAAGAUUUUCUAUAUUAUCAAAAUCUUUGUGUAAUUUAAAGAUUGAUAUUCCUUCUUAUAAAUGGAAUAAGGUAUAUUUAAACCUGGUUACAGAGCAAUUUUAUAUAAUUUAUAUCAGGUCACAGCCUGCUGAAGAAGAUCCUCAGCUUAUACAGAGGUCAGGCUUGAGCUAUGUGCUGAUUCAAAAGAUGCUAAUGACAGUGGAUAAUCCAUUCUGAGCUGUUCUAGGACCAUUCACCAACGUUCCAAAACACUGAUGGAACUGAAGGCAGUACCUGUACUGGUGUCUGGCCUGUGAUUUCAAGUAUAACUGAUGUACCUCCUCCUGAUGUAUCUCCUUGAAUACAAUAUAUCUGCCAUGUGAAAGGAACAAGUUGCAAGAUAUACUGUGGAAGUGGUGGCCUAUGUAAAAAACAUUUUAUUUAAAGAAUAUAAGAAAUCUGACACUAAACUACUGAAAAAGUGCACAGAGGACAUUUUGUGUGUAUAGACUUUCAUCAAGAUUCUGAGAAAGUUGAUUUAUUAAACAAAAAUAGUCAUAUUGUGUCUUCAAAGCUGAAAAGAUUAAGAUCUUAGGAAAACAUUAGGACUCAAGAAAAGUAAUGGUGUUAUGGAACUGUAGUGUUCAACAUUUAAAUUGUUUUUUUUUGUUUUUUUUUCACUACAUUUUGUGAAGAGGGUUCCAUCACAAGAUGCGACAUAUUAGUAAGAAUGAGAUGUAGUUUAUG
rnacentral:lncRNA from 1 species